GAGCCCUAGCUGUAACCUAUUUAAACAAGAUGCUCCAGUUUCCUCAGUCCUUUCACCAGCAGUCAAGAGGAAGACAUGUCCUCUCCAACUUCUAACAUUAUAAUGCUGAACAACCUCAGCGGUGCCAUCAUCUGUACCGGCAAUGUAUGCUCGGAUCAUAUGCCAUUUGGUGGACACCUGUGUGAGCCAGAUGGAGGAUGAUGGCUGUGUUUGAGCUUCAGCGGAUCGUCCCAGUGGCCACUGUGCUGCUGCUGCAACACCACAAUCUGCCAUGGCAGUAUAAUUACCUGAGAAAAUGGGUCUGAGAGAGGAGCUCCAACAAGAGGCGGGCUGCCAUCUGCAUCAAGUCAGGUGUGAAAAUUCUCUAGGUUUAAGCUUUGAGAUGAAACCAGAGGGAAGAUGUUGCAGCAGCUCUAACAUACACUCGAGCAGUCCUGGUCAGAAGUGAUGCUUUCCAGAUAAUGACUGCAAACACCUGACUGACAUCAGAGCAGUGGAGCAUUUUUCUGCUUUUCCCCAUGAUGCCAAACAGACAUCGAUUAAAUGUUUGUCAUAUUUAGUUUGCUAUAUCUGAUCACUGGCAGUUUUUCAUCUCCAGCAGCAUUUGUUUUGCACAUAAUACAUCCAGGCAGUGUGAAUUGGCAUGCAAUGUGUAAAAAAUUACACCAUUUUGUCUUAAAGGUUUAUUAUAAAAAUAUGAUUAAGAACCAUUUAAACAAUGAAUGCACAUGUCUGGUUACUGAACACCGCUAAUUCAUGUUUGAUGUAAUUUGCUGUUUGGUUUCUAAGUCUGUCUGUUCUUUUAUGUGAAACAUUUUGUUGCCACCUUGGCCAGGACUCUCUUGAAAAAGAUUUUAAACCUCGGUGGGGAAAUAAAAUAAAAGUUACAAAAC